rnacentral:ncRNA from 1 species
GCCGGUUUUCGACAGUGGCCUACGGAGCGUUUAUCCGUGGGCUUCGAUCGAAGGCCGAA